rnacentral:rRNA from 1 species
UACGUAGGGGGCUAGCGUUGUCCGGAUUUAUUGGGCGUAAAGCGCGUGUAGGCGGUCCGGUAAGUCCGCUGUGAAAGUCGGGGGCUCAACCCUCGAAUGCCGGUGGAUACUGUCGGGCUAGAGUGCGGAAGAGGCGAGUGGAAUUCCUGGUGUAGCGGUGAAAUGCGCAGAUAUCAGGAGGAACACCAAUUGCGAAGGCAGCUCGCUGGGACGUCACUGACGCUGAGACGCGAAAGCGUGGGGAGCAAACAGG